rnacentral:rRNA from 1 species
GACGAACGCUGGCGGCGUGCUUAACACAUGCAAGUCGAACGCUGAACCCGCUUCGGUGGGGGAUGAGUGGCGAACGGGUGAGUAACACGUGGGCAACCUGCCCCCGGCUCUGGGAUAACUCCAAGAAAUUGGGGCUAAUACCGGAUGUGACCGCUGGCCGCAUGGUCUGGUGGUGGAAAGGGUUUCCGGCUGGGGAUGGGCCCGCGGCCUAUCAGCUUGUUGGUGGGGUAGUGGCCUACCAAGGCGACGACGGGUAGCCGGCCUGAGAGGGUGACCGGCCACACUGGGACUGAGACACGGCCCAGACUCCUACGGGAGGCAACAGUGGGGAAUAGUGCGCAAUGGGCGGAAGCCUGACGCAGCGACGCCGCGUGGGGGAUGACGGCCUUCGGGUUGUAAACCUCUUUCAGCAGGGACGAAGCGCAAGUGACGGUACCUGCAGAAGAAGCACCGGCCAACUACGU